rnacentral:rRNA from 1 species
AUGUUUGAUACAAAGAAAAAAUUGAAGUAUGCGGUGAUAAAGUGGGCUAUGUCUACGCAGAGGGUUUUCAAGACACACAUAUCAAGUCCAACAAACUAUACCCUGAAAUGUGUUGUAACAGGUUGUCCUGGGAAGGUGCACGGGCACGUGCCGAAGUAUGACAUCCACUGGGUUGUCACCAUUGUCGUCCCACAUAAUUGUGUGAGGAUGAACCUGCUGGUCAAGCAUCCGAACCUGACUUCAAGUCUCAUUGUGUAA